GGUGGGGAUGACGUCAAGUCCUCAUGGCCUUAUGCUUAGGGCUACACACGUGCUACAAUGGUGGUACAAAGAGAAGCCAACUCGCGAGAGCGCGCCAAUCUCAAAAAGCCAUCCUCAGUUCGGAUUGGAGUCUGCAACUCGACUCCAUGAAGUUGGAAUCGCUAGUAAUCGCGGAUCAGCAUGCCGCGGUGAAUACGUUCCCGGGCCUU
rnacentral:rRNA from 1 species